rnacentral:lncRNA from 1 species
AUGGAUCCAGACCUUGAAAAAGCUGAAGAAUUCUCUGACACAGAAGACCCCCUGAGCCAUCUCAGUGUAGAUGAUGAAGAGGAGGAACGGGAGGGAGACGAAGAGAAGGAAGAAGAAGAUGACGAGGAAGAUGCAAAAAUUUUCAAUGCUUGGAUGCUGAAAUACAAGGGCGGGGAACAUCAUGAGAAACCAGAGAAAGAGGAUGCUGAGGAAGAAGACCCAGAAACAGGACAGCUUGAAAGCGGAAGCACCACAGAAUCCCCAGUGAAAAUGAGGGCUGACCGUCGGGCUUCGCUGCCAUGUCCAUCAGCACUUUCGUCCAUACACCUGUCUCGUCUGCACUCAUCCACGAGGGCCCCGGUGACAGCAAGCGUGCUGCUGCGACGGUCCUCAUCACGGCGUCUCCUCCCAUUGCCACAGGAAGCCACUGCCCCCACCCCCGAAAGAAGACCCUCUAUCAUCAGCACGAUCCCUAAAACCAUAGUAACAGAGAAGCGGGCCACAUUCAGAAGACGCAACGUCAUGUCACUGAGCGAUGCAGACAGCGUGUGUCUGAUCUGUCACAAUGACCUGAGUAAAGGAACCGGCGGCACCACAGAACUGCAGUGUUCUCACAGCUUUCACAAAGAGGUAACACACACACACACACACACCUGGGCAUCUUUUCACUUCUAUUUUUGUGGACUUUCAUAAGCAUAAUAUACCCCCACAGCGCCUUAUUCUGACCCUAACAAUCACAACUAACCCUAAUCAUUACUCUGACCUAAAGCCAGUUCUAACUCUAACCUUAAAACCACGUGUUAACCCUCAAACAGGCCCGUGAAGACCAGGCAAACUGUCCUCCCUUCCUAAAAAUGCUCUCACUUUGUCUCCAUAGUGUAUCCAGGAGUGGCUAUGGAGGAAACAAUUCUGUCCGACCUGUCGUGUCCAGGUGUCGAUGCCACGGCCCGUCUUUUGGAGCUCCACUCGUGUCAAAGUCCCCUGAAACAUAGCACAGUCAUAGUGCAGCGUGAUGGAUAAAAGGAUAAAGAUACAUGACAAAUUAAUGCAUUUAAUAAGUGAAUUUAAAAUCUGUUCUAGAUUUAUAAGGAUAGGGAUCUGCAGGUGUCCAUUAUUUAUAAAUGUAGCAGUGACUAUACAAAUGAUCUAUUUUAAAUUUAAACCACAGUAACCUCACUUGAGUCGAUGUGCGCGCGUGUGUGUGUGUGUGUGUGUAUGUGUUUGUGAGGGGAGGGGGGUAGUGCUCUUUUAAUGAUUUCUUUAUUUAAUUACUAACUAAUUGUUUUUACAAGUUUAGGAGAGUUGUCAAGAUUUUUAAAGAAAGUUUAAGGAAAAAAAUAUUGUCAUUCU